UUCCACAGCAGCACAUGCCCCACCCACCCCAUCUGACCAGCAGAGCUCCGGAAGUGACCGCCUCGUUAUUGAUACUGAGGCAGAGGAGGAGGAGGAAAUGGGGGAGCCCUCAGGCCAGCCUGAUGUCACUUACGUGGACUCGGGGGAGGAGGAGCCACAGUAUAGUAAGUACAGUAGGAUUUUCUCAAGCCCAUUCUUAAAAGUAUUGACCGAGUCCACUUUUAUUACUUUUCAGGCAGGGAAUU